UNAAGAACGCUGGCGGUAGGCCUAACACAUGCAAGUCGAACGGCAGCACAGGAGAGCUUGCUCUCUGGGUGGCGAGUGGCGGACGGGUGAGGAAUACAUCGGAAUCUACUUUUUCGUGGGGGAUAACGUAGGGAAACUUACGCUAAUACCGCAUACGACCUACGGGUGAAAGCAGGGGAUCUUCGGACCUUGCGCGAUUGAAUGAGCCGAUGUCGGAUUAGCUAGUUGGCGGGGUAAAGGCCCACCAAGGCGACGAUCCGUAGCUGGUCUGAGAGGAUGAUCAGCCACACUGGAACUGAGACACGGUCCAGACUCCUACGGGAGGCAGCAGUGGGGAAUAUUGGACAAUGGGCGCAAGCCUGAUCCAGCCAUACCGCGUGGGUGAAGAAGGCCUUCGGGUUGUAAAGCCCUUUGUUUGGGAAAGAAAUCCAGCUGGCUAAUACCCGGUUGGGAUGACGGUACCCAAAGAAUAAGCACCGGCUAACUUCGUGCCAGCAGCCGCGGUAAUACGAAGGGUGCAAGCGUUACUCGGAAUUACUGGGCGUAAAGCGUGCGUAGGUGGUCGUUUAAGUCCGUUGUGAAAGCCCUGGGCUCAACCUGGGAACUGCAGUGGAUACUGGGCGACUAGAGUGUGGUAGAGGGUAGCCGGAAUUCCUGGUGUAGCAGUGAAAUGCGUAGAGAUCAGGAGGAACAUCCAUGGCGAAAGCAGCUCCUGGACCAACACUGACACUGAGGCACGAAAGCCUGGGGAGCAAACAGGAUUAGAUCCCUGGUAGUCCACGCCCUAAACGAUGCNAACUGGAUGUUGGGUGCAAUUGGCACGCANUAUCGAACUUACGCGUAAGUUCNCCNCUGGGGAAUACGGUCNAAGACUGAACUUAAANGGAUUGACGGGGGNCCCNACAACCGGUGGANUAUGGGGGUUAAUUC
rnacentral:rRNA from 1 species